GCCACCCACCACUCCUCGGCGGCUCCCAGGCCUCCUUUUUCGAAUACGGAUCAAAUCUGUUAAUGCCUGACAUUGGCUGUAAACCAGCUGUCCAUCAGCGGCCACGGGGCAGAUUUGUUAUGACUGAAGGGAUUCUGGCUCUCACCAAGUGGAAGGCAAAGGGCGCAUUAUGAGGUCACAAAACAACGACUUCCCUGUUGGGUCUCAGCAACAGCCUGUCAUUUGUGGCAUGCUUUUGAGGGAGUGAAUUGCCCUGAAGGUUGCGGAAUAACACGCACGCUAAUCUGAGCGUCCUUGCGAGUGCAUUAAAGGUCUUAAACUAUCUGGAGAGUGUCGUAAGCUGUGUGUUUUCCCCGUGUGCUGUGAGCCUGCCCCGCGUCUGUUCAGCAUGGACUUGCACUCCCUCCUGCGAUUCCCCAGGGGCCGUUCUGAACCAGGGCCAAGCGUUUCGCAGCGGGUCAAAAGUGUGCACUCUCUCCUCUCACUAACCCACAGGCGGGUGCCCUGCUCACCCUACACCAGAGGCAGACCCUGCUGGAGGACUGAGAGUCCUUCCUUUGCCAUUUUAUAUGUUUCUCGAAACGCACCACAGAGGAUGGCCAACACCCGUUUCUAUCUUUAGAUGGGGGAAUCCACCCAAAAGCUGUCAAUCAUGUGGUCACAUCUCUUAGAAGAAAAAGGACCCCCUGAGCUGAAUUCUACAGUGCUGAAACACAGCCAUCCACUGGUGUUCAACAGCCGCCUUGAGCCUCUGACAGUUGACCAGAGCACAUAUGCAGGGACUUACAAAGAUUACAAAACACCCAUUCUAAAACUUUUGGAAUGCUUGCUAUACUGCUUAUGAUAUUUUUUAAUUAAAUGUGAAUAUUUUUUGAGUGAAACAAGUGUUUAGUGUUAUGUCUGAGACAAUAACAGGUCACUAUUUCUACUUUUCAAAUAGAUUUUGUUCACGUAACACUGAAACAUGCUUUCAAAAAGGUCUGUUUUUACCAAUUUUUACUUUAAACAAAAACUUAAAACCCCAAAUGGUACUAAAGCAGUUUAGCAUCUUAACUG